rnacentral:rRNA from 1 species
AUACAAAAUGACUCUCGGCAACGGAUAUCUCGGCUCUUGCAUCGAUGAAGAACGUAGCGAAAUGCGAUACUUGGUGUGAAUUGCAGAAUCCCGUGAACCAUCGAGUCUUUGAACGCAAGUUGCGCCCGAAGCCAUUAGGCCGAGGGCACGCCUGCCUGGGUGUCACAC